CGCGGCUGCCGCUGCUGACAACAAGAUGGCGGCGGCGGGGCCGGCGGGCCCCGAGAGCCGGGUGCUGGGUUAUACCCUGCACCGCUGGAGCAGCUUCUCCUCCCCCUACCUGCCCGAGAAUAUCUUGGUGGAUAAGCCCAAUGAUCAGUCUUCAAGAUGGUCUUCAGAAAGCAAUUAUCCUCCCCAGUAUUUGAUUCUGAAACUUGAAAGACCUGCCAUAGUCCAGAGCAUCACGUUUGGCAAAUACGAGAAAACGCAUGUCUGCAACUUAAAGAAGUUUAAAGUCUUUGGUGGGAUGAAUGAGGAAAACAUGACAGAUCUCUUAUCCAGUGGCUUAAAGAAUGAUUAUAACAAAGAAACAUUCACCUUGAAGCAUAAAAUUGAUGAACAGAUGUUCCCCUGUCGAUUCAUUAAGAUAGUUCCACUCUUAUCCUGGGGACCUAGCUUCAAUUUUAGUAUCUGGUAUGUUGAACUUAAUGGCAUUGAUGAUCCAGAUGUGGUCCAACCGUGCCUCAACUGGUACAGCAAGUACCGUGAACAGGAAGCCAUUCGCCUUUGCCUAAAGCAUUUUCGUCAGCACAACUACACUGAAGCUUUUGAGUCGCUGCAGAAGAAAACCAAGAUUGCUCUGGAGCACCCUAUGUUGACAGACCUGCAUGACAAACUGGUGUUGAAGGGAGACUUCGAUGCUUGUGAAGAACUGAUAGAAAAAGCUGUCAAUGAUGGCUUAUUCAAUCAGUAUAUCAGUCAACAAGAAUACAAACCUCGCUGGGGGCAGAUCAUCCCCAAAAGCACCAAAGGUGAUGGGGAAGACAGCCGACCAGGAAUGAGAGGUGGCCAUCAGAUGGUUAUAGAUGUUCAGACAGAAACUGUUUAUUUGUUUGGCGGCUGGGAUGGAACUCAGGAUCUGGCUGACUUCUGGGCAUACAGUGUGAAGGAAAACCAGUGGACCUGCAUAUCCAGGGAUACUGAGAAAGAGAGUGGUCCUAGUGCCAGAUCUUGUCACAAGAUGUGCAUUGACAUUCAACGAAGGCAGAUCUACACGCUGGGACGCUAUCUGGAUUCCUCCGUGAGGAACAGUAAAUCUCUGAAAAGUGACUUCUAUCGCUAUGACAUUGACACAAACACAUGGAUGUUACUAAGUGAAGACACUGCAGCGGAUGGAGGUCCAAAGCUGGUGUUUGAUCAUCAGAUGUGCAUGGAUUCUGAAAAACACAUGAUAUAUACCUUUGGAGGCAGAAUUCUGACAUGCAAUGGCAGCGUUGAUGACAGCAGAGCCAGCGAACCACAGUUCAGUGGAUUGUUUGCUUUUGACUGCCAGUGUCAGACAUGGAAACUUUUGAGAGAGGAUUCCUGUAAUGCUGGACCUGAGGAUAUCCAGUCCCGAAUAGGACACUGUAUGCUGUUCCAUUCUAAAAAUCGCUGCUUAUAUGUGUUUGGUGGCCAGAGAUCGAAGACUUAUUUGAAUGACUUCUUCAGUUAUGAUGUAGACAGCGAUCAUGUGGAUAUCAUAUCAGAUGGCACUAAGAAAGAUUCAGGGAUGGUUCCAAUGACAGGUUUCACUCAAAGGGCUACCAUUGAUCCAGAACUGAAUGAAAUCCAUGUCUUGUCAGGGCUCAGUAAAGAUAAGGAGAAGCGGGAAGAGAAUGUAAGGAAUUCCUUCUGGAUUUAUGACAUUGUGAGGAACAGCUGGUCUUGUGUCUAUAAGAAUGAUCAAGCAGCAAAAGAGAAUCCAGGUAAAAGCCUUCAGGAAGAGGAGCCCUGCCCAAGGUUCGCCCAUCAACUGGUGUACGAUGAGUUGCACAAGGUUCAUUAUUUAUUUGGAGGGAAUCCUGGUAAGUCUUGCUCUCCAAAGAUGAGAUUAGACGAUUUCUGGUCUCUGAAGCUCUGUCGACCUUCAAAGGAAUACCUGCUAAGACACUGCAAAUACCUCAUAAGAAAGCACAGAUUUGAAGAAAAAGCUCAGACUGACCCUCUUAGUGCACUGAAGUACUUGCAGAAUGAUUUGUAUGUAACCGUGGAUCACUCGGACCCUGAGGAGACAAAAGAGUUUCAGCUUCUUGCCUCAGCAUUAUUUAAGUCUGGCUCGGAUUUCACCACUCUUGGAUUUUCAGAUGUUGACCACACAUAUGCGCAGAGAACUCAGCUGUUUGAUACACUAGUCAACUUCUUUCCAGACAACAUGACCCCUCCUAAAGGCAACCUGGUGGACCUCAUCACGCUGUAACGGAGCAAUCACUGGACAUGUGGAAGAGGGGAAAAGCAUCCAUUUUCAGCAACAGUCACAGUAUCAACCUCAUCAGUUGGGUCAUGGCACUGUGAGCAGGAGAUAAGUGGUCCUAAAAUAUUUACACAUUCCUCAUGAAUCUGAAAAUAGAAAAGUCUCUUGCAAGGCCAUCUGAGCUGCUUGUAAAACUCUCACCAAAAGGAGAGAAGGGAGAAGAGCCAAUUCCUUUGAGGAGACGUAUCUUCUGCCAGCUUCUGUCCUGGGGCUGAGCAGACCACCCCAACCCUCUCCUUUUUGCUCAGUAGCUGGAGGAUGCAGUUGGCGUGGUCAGAGGCGGGACGGGAGGGGACGUGCUCAGAGGAGACACCAGCAGCUCUUCGGGAGCAAAGCCACCCUGUUUGCCCACGGCUGGUGUGGUCCUCCUUCAUGAGGGUGUCGAGAGGAACGAUCCAGCUGUCCCCCAGCUCGCCGUUGAGGUUCACUUUCUUUUCCUGCAUUUCAGAGGAGG